GGGCCGUUAGCGCAGCUGGUAGCGCGCCUCGAUGGCAUCGAGGAGGUCACCGGUUCAAGUCCGGUACGGUCCA
rnacentral:tRNA from 1 species